rnacentral:rRNA from 1 species
AUUGAACGCUGGCGGCGUGCUUAACACAUGCAAGUCGAGCGAUGAAAUUAGAAACGGAGUCUUCGGACGAAGUGGAAAAUGGAUUAGCGGCGGACGGGUGAGUAACACGUGAGCAACCUGCCUAUCACAUCGGGAUAGCCUCGGGAAACUGGGAUUAAUACCGAAUGAAACAUAAUCACUGCCUAGUGGAAAUGUCAAAGAUUUAUCGGUGAUAGAUGGGCUCGCGUCUGAUUAGCUAGUUGGUGAGGUAAUGGUUCACCAAGGCGACGAUCAGUAGCCGGCCUGAGAGGGUGAACGGCCACAUUGGGACUGAGACACGGCCCAAACUCCUACGGGAGGCAGCAGUGGGGAAUAUUGCACAAUGGAGGGAACUCUGAUGCAGCGACGCCGCGUGAGCGAUGAAGGCUUUCGAGUCGUAAAGCUCUGUCGAAUGGGAAGAUAAUGACGGUACCAUUUGAGAAAGCCCCGGCUAACUACGUGCCAGCAGCCGCGGUAACAC